GAUGAACGCUGGCGGCGUGCCUAAUACAUGCAAGUCGAGCGAACGGACGAGAAGCUUGCUUCUCUGAUUUUAGCGGCGGACGGGUGAGUAACACGUGGAUAACCUACCUAUAAGACUGGGAUAACUUCGGGAAACCGUAGCUAAUACCGGAUAAUAUUUUGAACCGCAUGGUUCAAAAGUGAAAGACGGUCUUGCUGUCACUUAUAGAUGGAUCCGCGCUGCAUUAGCUAGUUGGUAAGGUAACGGCUUACCAAGGCAACGAUGCAUAGCCGACCUGAGAGGGUGAUCGGCCACACUGGAACUGAGACACGGUCCAGACUCCUACGGGAGGCAGCAGUAGGGAAUCUUCCGCAAUGGGCGAAAGCCUGACGGAGCAACGCCGCGUGAGUGAUGAAGGUCUUCGGAUCGUAAAACUCUGUUAUUAGGGAAGAACAUAUGUGUAAGUAACUGUGCACAUCUUGACGGUACCUAAUCAGAAAGCCACGGCUAACUACGUG
rnacentral:rRNA from 1 species